rnacentral:rRNA from 1 species
GAUGAACGCUGGCGGCGUGGAUAAGGCAUGCAAGUCGAGCGCCCCGCAAGGGGAGCGGCGAACGAGGUAGUAACACGUUGGUACGUACCCUAAAGUCAGGAAUAACUAGUCGAAAGAUUAGCUAAUACUUGAUAGUCUCUUCGGAGUAAAGAUUUAUCGCUUUAGGAACGGCCUGCGGAGUAUCAGCUAGUUGGUAAGGUAAUGGCUUACCAAGGCUAUGACGCUUAGAGGACCUGAGAGGGUGACCCUCACCGAUGGUACUGAGACACGGACCAUACACCUACGGGUGGCUGCAGUCGAGAAUCUUCCGCAAUGGGCGAAAGCCUGACGGAGCGACGCCGCGUGAUUGAUGAAGUCCCUCUGGGAUGUAAAGAUCUUUUAUGAGGGAGAAAGUUUAUUGAUAGUACCUCAUGAAUAAGGGGUUGCUAAACUCGUGCCAGCAGCCGCGGUAAU